ensembl:lncRNA
CAAAAAUAUUUUAUUGUCCACCCAUGGGGCAAUUUGUUGUGCAGUAGAUAGUAUACAAAUCCAAGUCACACACACAAUAAAAAAACAAUAUACAAUCAAUAAAUAGUAGUCAAUAUAUAUAUAUAUGUAUAUAUAUAAUAUACAUAUUGUAGCGGGGCAGUGGGUGUGGGGUUUCCACGCUACCAAGUUGAAUGGAUAUAACGACACAACAGACAGAGAGCAGUUCAAGGCCGAAUGGUUUAUUUACAGAGUAAAUAAAACCAGGCUGGGAAAAGGGUCAUCCACCUCUUAUAUGAUAUAGUACAAUUUCAUUCAAAAACCAUCCACCUGUCUCUCUCCCUCAGGCCGUACCACGCUGCCACGCGAUCACACAGAUCCUACCGGUCCUUUGCUAGCAUUAGCUUCUCUAGCCUUCCUUCUAGCUCCAAAUUCCCCUGUCUGUCGUUUGCUACCUCCUUUAAGCCCCUGCACCCCUGCUUAAUGAUCCCCAGGCUCGCCUCGUUAAAGGGAGGAAGUCAAUAUAUGGCUUGGGGGUGGAGCCAGCAGGUUGCCAGACCUACCACUCCCCUCACUCCUCCCUGGCGUCUGCCACAAUAUAUAUAUAUAUAUUGACUACUAUUUAUUGAUUGUAUAUUGUUUUUUUAUUGUGUAUAUUGUUUAUUUAUUUUUUAUUAAGUAUAUAUAAAAAAUAAUACACAUACACUCUGUAUAUGGAUAUAUAUAAAUAAAGAAAGGCAGAGGCUCAGCAUAUCCAAAAGUGUGAGUUGGGGUGGGGGAAGGUGUUAUCUACGGUUCUUUCGAGAAUUGAGAAGUAGGGUGGUGGCUGCCAUCUGGCUCACCCCAUCCCCACAGUGAAAGACUGGGAGGACUUUAUGACGGCCACAAAGAAGAAAGAAGCCCCUUCAGUCUUUCUCUCACUUUUACUAAAUGCAGACUUCUAUGUUAAGGUAAAUUAGCUAAUGUUUCAGUCAAAAUUAAAGCAUUGCCGGCUUUAUGAAUGUACGCCACAAUCACAUACGGUGGAAUUGCGGUCAAUUGGUAAAAGGUGUGUUUUAUUGUCUGAGUAUAUAUAUAUAUUUUUUUAUUGUGCUCAGCCAUGUGACAUCUUUAUCUUAACUCAUAUAUGUGGUAGAGUAAUUUGACCCCCCAAAACGUUAUCUCCUUUCCAGCUGAAAGACAGAGUUCACUCUACAAUAGCCUAGAGCCUCAUAAAACAGUGCACACAGUUGAAACGGGACUAUUUACAGUAUAUCACACAUUACUGUCUACACUUUAUAGUUCUCUCCUCCUCAUCCUGUGUCUCUUUGACCUAUGGACAGGGAUUUUCAGUAAGAAGAAGGUACAUUAUUAUAUGGCACAUUAUUUUAGGGGGAC